rnacentral:lncRNA from 1 species
GAGAAUUUUAGGCAUGCGUAUCAUAGUAAACAAAGCACGUGUGUUAGUAGUGAAAAAAAUCUUUUUUCUACGUAAAUUAAAUCAAGUUUUAAUUUAAUUUUAAAUCAUAAUUGACAAUUGUCUUAGCUGAAAAGUAAUUAAAUAAUGAAGACAGUUGGUAUUGAAUUUUAAUUUCUUUAUAAUAUUAGUUCGGAGCUUGUGAUUAAUAGCCAAGUGUGAAUUAAAAACACAGGUAAAGAGAUUAGCGAUCAUUAGCCAAUAGCUCCCCGAGGCAUUAAUAUAGCUAUUAGGAGGGCCCUCAGGAUUAUAACACUUUACUGGAGUGGCAGUUUAAUUACAUAAAAUCGAUAACAAAACAAAAAUAUGUUUAAAAUGGCGAUUUGAAACUCAAUCUCAACGAAAUGACCGAAAUUAUUUCUGUUGAAAAAUAAAAUUUGACCUAAAUCCCAAUAAAUGAUUUAGGACUUUUGAGUUUCCAAAUCGGUCAUGUCUAGCAUAUAUGACCGUUUCCGGACCCUUGUGUAGGAUGAUUGACAACAAAGUAAAUAAAUUUCAUAUAUUCCAUCUGUUUCAAGUUUGUCAUGGUCAAGUCAACAUCAGAUAUUACAAAAAGAGUGUUUUCAAAACAAAGGGAAGUUUCUCAUCGGUGUAGUAUUGCAUUGUACUACAUGUACAUGUAUAAAGUGCAAAAUUUGGU